AGCCAAAGAAGAAAUCUGAGGAAUCAAGGGCUGAAUGUAGCUCCACUAUGAGGACCUCAAUGAUUGAUGCAGGAUGGGAUCAUAUGAAUCUUUCGCCCAUGAUACGCCACCUUGUGGAAAACAUGACGGAAGAGCAUUGGAGAAUCGUCCGUGAGGCUCUAUGUGUGCCUAGGACCAGGGAAGAAGUUUACCAGCUUUGUGCCGG